UGGCCGCCGCGGCUCCCGCCAGGGCACUGCAAAGGCGACCUGCCGCAUUCCCACGCGGGCUCUCCGCCGACUCAGCACCGCCCCUGCGCCAAGCCAGCCGGCCAGGUCAAAGUUGUCUCCUCUCCAAAUCUUGCAGAAGCACCUUUCUUCUCUUCAGCGCACUGUUUUGGGACUGUUUAUGCAGCAGACGUAAGUAGACAGCAUGGACUCCAUGUGACAUGCCUCUGAUAGUAAAGAUAAAGUAUUACUGAGGUUAAAAAUAAAAAUUGAGUGGUAUUAAUUUAAAGUGCACCGUCAGGACAACAAACCAUUGAAGCUGAAAAAACGCUAUUUUAGUUCUUGAGUUUGCCAGUUGCUUCCACCUUGAGUUAAGGACAUGUCUCAUCUUCACCUACUGUGCAUUUUCCCUUCUCUAACUGUGUAAUAUGUCAGGUCAAGGACAUUGAAUGUUAUGAAUUGAGAACCUAAUUGAUGCGCAUAGUUUUCAUCUAUGCAAUUUUACUUGC
rnacentral:sRNA from 1 species